rnacentral:rRNA from 1 species
UACGUAGGCAGCGAGCGUUGUUCGGAGUUACUGGGCGUAAAGAGUGCGUAGGCGGUUUUCUAAGUUUGGUGUGAAAUCUCCCGGCUUAACUGGGAGGGUGCGCCGAAGACUGGAAGGCUUGAGUUUGGGAGAGGGACGCGGAAUUCCAGGUGUAGCGGUGAAAUGCGUAGAUAUCUGGAGGAACACCGGUGGCGAAGGCGGCAUCCUGGACCAACACUGACACUGAGGAGCGAAAGCCAGGGGAGCAAACGGG